UCCUGGCUCAGAUUGAACGCUGGCGGCAGGCCUAACACAUGCAAGUCGAACGGUAACAGGAAGAAGCUUGCUUCUUUGCUGACGAGUGGCGGACGGGUGAGUAAUGUCUGGGAAACUGCCUGAUGGAGGGGGAUAACUACUGGAAACGGUAGCUAAUACCGCAUAACGUCGCAAGACCAAAAAGGGGGGACCUUCGGGCCUCUUGCCAUCGGAUGUGCCCAGAUGGGAUUAGCUAGUAGGUGGGGUAACGGCUCACCUAGGCGACGAUCCCUAGCUGGUCUGAGAGGAUGACCAGCCACACUGGAACUGAGACACGGUCCAGACUCCUACGGGAGGCAGCAGUGGGGAAUAUUGCACAAUGGGCGCAAGCCUGAUGCAGCCAUGCCGCGUGUAUGAAGAAGGCCUUCGGGUUGUAAAGUACUUUCAGCGGGGAGGAAGGGAGUAAAGUUAAUACCUUUGCUCAUUGACGUUACCCGCAGAAGAAGCACCGGCUAACUCCGUG
rnacentral:rRNA from 1 species